rnacentral:rRNA from 1 species
UACAUGGGGUGCAAACGUUGCUCGGAAUUAUUGGGCGUAAAGCGCACGUAGGCGGUUUGUUAAGUCGGAUGUGAAAUCCCUCGGCUCAACUGAGGAAGUGCAUCCGAAACUGGCAAGCUUGAGUACGAAAGAGGGUCGCGGAAUUCCCGGUGUAGAGGUGAAAUUCGUAGAUAUCGGGAGGAACACCGGUGGCGAAGGCGGCGACCUGGGUCGAUACUGACGCUGAGGAGCGAAAGCGUGGGGAGCGAACAGG